AAAAUGUCUGGCAAUACUUGUCAUUGCAAAGCCCGGAGGGAUGCCGGACGUUAACUCCCGGGAGCCAGAGUUCGGGUCUUCACGCAGUUUUUGCAACCCCCCCCCAGCCAUGGCUACAAGUAGCUGUGAGGGGAUCUGUUGUAGGGGUUAUAUUUUUAUUUUAUUUAUUUUUUUUUUCUCUUUACUUUAUUGACUCAUAAUAUAGCCACAUGGCAUUACCUGAAGCACAACAAUACCUAGGAUAUCUCAGUGAGGUAUAUUAUGCUUAUGCUCACUAAAGUUGGACCUAUACAAGCCGAUAAGCCACCUAACCUGUGGGGUUUAACUUGGAGAUAGGCCUAUCAGCCUUGAUAACAGCAACAAUAUUAUGGCCCACCUGUGACAUGGGAGGCUUUCACCUGUGGACGUGUCUCAAGUUUGGAGCAUCAUCACAGUUAUGCUCAUUUCGUUUGUUUAAGCUACUGGCAUCUUACCUUAUGACAUAUGCCUAAUAACAUGAAUGCAGCUCCUAUGGUUGACCUUAUUUAGUUUAUAAGUUAUCAACACGCUGUUGCCUCCAGAGGCUAUUUUUUACAUUGCAGUAACUUAUUUACUUUUUGACAUAUUAGUUUACCAUGGAAUAACGAAGUUUCUCAUUUGCACAUACGAUUAAUUCUGCUGCAAGCUUUACCGCUUACCUAGAUGGGCAUAACUUAAACAAGCAGCACCGUAAAAUGCCUUUUCUAAACUUAGCAAGAAUGAAGCGGACUUAUCUGUUUCGGCCUAAUCAGGCGCUGUUAUACUGCACCCAUCAAAGAUUUACUGAGCUGCCUCAUGCUAUCUGACCGCUAUAUCACCUUUGCCAUAUGCUUAAUACAACCGUGUAUUAUGAUUUUGUGUUCCUUGCUCCACGUACCAUAUCAGUAGAUAGCUCAAACCCUUGCUGCAUACAUACGCAGAUUGCAUUCCCAAAUGCUGCGAAUUGCUUACCAUUGUCCAUGUCAGAACUGAUGAGAAAUAUGUAAUUUGCCUUACCUUUGUUUGACGUACUAUGCCUCUGCGCAGGCACUAGAGUGUUAAUUUUUUAAAACCAUUAUAUGUCUGCUAUUGUUUUGCAUACGAAAUAAAAAAACCUAUUUAACACAAAUAAGCGUGAUUGCAAAAAAACAUUUUAACCCCUUAAGGACCAAACUUCUGGAAUAAAAGGGAAUCAUGACAUGUCACUAGUGAUGUCCCGAACGGUUCGCCGCGGACUCCAGUCAGCAGACACAUUCCAGCCAAUCAGCAGCAGACCCUCCCACCUCCUGGACAGCAUCCAUUUUGAAGCUGCAUUCUUAGUGAGCUGUCCAGGAGCCCUCAAGCCAGGAUUUAACGCAUUCGCUCCAGAUUUUUCAGCUGUCUGAU